rnacentral:lncRNA from 1 species
UGCUGUGAGUUUUGGGUGAUCUUACAAUUCCCAUUUUGCUGCUGAGAAACUAAGCACAAGCUUACUGAAAGUACCUUCUGUUGUUUAUUGUAUUUUCUGAGGCACUGAGGCCCUAGGCCACAGAGCACAGAAUUAACUCCAGGCAUUUUCACCCACAGCCAGGAGCAUUCCUCCUCACUGCUGUGUAUCCACUCCACAGCCACUGCUGACUAUCCACCCGUGCCUGAUCUCUGGAAAACUGGGAAGGUGACGUAUGUUGCCAGUGGGAAGAGUGGCUGAUAUGAAGGAGAAUGUUUCUAGGAGUCUCUUUUCCCUAGGUUUGACAUCCAGAUCCUGCUGGUUCACAAACAGGCCACAGAGAGCUCUUGACGGACCAGCAGAAAGCACCUUGUCUGUGUCACACCCUGGGAUGAACUGCACUUGUCAGUGGAAGAUACAGCAGGAAGAAAACUCCAGAGAAAUUGCAAGAUCCAUUUGCAACAAGCAUAAUAAAUAUCAAUAAAUUGAAUGGUCAGGAAUAGCACCUACAUAAACAGGAUGUGGCAACUGGAGUGAGCAUAUUAAACUAUACUCAUCAAAUGAUCAGAUUUGCAGUGGGACAAGAGUAUUUAUAUUUUUAAAAAUGAUUUAUGGCUGUCAGAACCCUGGGAAAAGGUUAUGGUUCAUGAAGGAGUUGGACAGGUAGAAAUGUGACCGUUCUCAUAGUUGGAAAUCUAGAAAUGCGUGGAUCCUUUGGAAGGCUCUGGAUGCUGCAAAACAGGUCCUAUAUUGGCAUAGUAAUGCAACACUUGCAACAUCUACAUGCCUUUUGUUAAGGAGGACAAUGGAAAUGUGAGGAGUUUGGGUACUUGAGUCCAUGCAUCUUGGGAAUGUUUAUAAAAGCAUUAAUAAAUUAAUUAAUUAAUUAAGAAUGGCUGUACUU